rnacentral:tRNA from 1 species
GUUGUGGCUCAGUGGUAGAGUGCUCCCCUAGCACGUAUGAGGCCCUGGGUUCCAUCCUCAGCAUCACA